rnacentral:rRNA from 1 species
UACGUAGGUGGCAAGCGUUAUCCGGAUUUACUGGGUGUAAAGGGCGUGUAGGCGGGGAAGCAAGUCAGAUGUGAAAUUCCAGGGCUCAACCCUGGAACUGCAUUUGAAACUGUUUUUCUUGAGUGAUGGAGAGGCAGGCGGAAUUCCGUGUGUAGCGGUGAAAUGCGUAGAUAUACGGAGGAACACCAGUGGCGAAGGCGGAUUGCUGGACAGUAACUGACGCUGAGGCGCGAAAGCGUGGGGAGCAAACAGG